GUAAUUUUGGGACAGCAGGGAUGAUGUCUGUCUCACAAGACAUUGCCACUUUAAAGUAUUCAAGAUCCUGUAUUUUCUACAACCUUAGUGAGGCAUGAGCAUAUGAAGCCAGUGAAAAAACAGUUCAUUCAUUCAUUUAUUCAUUCAUCCAUUCAAAAGACUUUCACAGGUGGCAAGAUGGCUGAAUAGGAACAGCUCUGGUCUGCAGCUCCCGGCGAGGUGGAUGCAGAAGGUGGGUGAUUUCUGCAUUUCCAACUGAGGCACCAGCUCAUCUCACUGGGACUAGUUAGACAGUGGGUGCAGCCCACAGAGGGUGAGCUGAAGCAGGGUGGGACAUUGCCUCACCCAGGAAGUGCAAGGGGUUGAGGAACUCCCUCCCCUAGCCAAGAGAAGCCUUGAGAAACCAUCCUGUGAGGAACCAUGCAUUCUGGCCCAGAUACUACACUUUUCCCAUGGUCUUCACAACGUGCAGAUCAGGAGAUUCCCUCGGGUGCCUAUACCACCAGGACCCUGGGUUUCAAGCACAAAACUGGGCAGCCAUUUGGGCAGACACUGAGCUAGCUGCAGGAGUUUUUUUCAUACCCCAGUGGUGCUUCAAAUUCCAGCAAAACAGAACUGUUCUCUCCCCUGGAAAGGGGGCUGAAGCCAGGGAGCCAAGUGGUUUAACUCAGUGAAUCCCACCCCUAUGGAGCCC
rnacentral:lncRNA from 10 species